rnacentral:tRNA from 1 species
GGAGAGGUGGCCGAGUGGUUGAAGGUACCUGUCUUGAAAACAGGCGUGUCGUUUAUGCGAUACCGUGGGUUCGAAUCCCACCCUCUCCGCCA